rnacentral:rRNA from 1 species
CCGCGGGGGGAUUGCCUUAGUACGGCGAGUGAAGCGGCAAAAGCUCAAAUUUGAAAUCUGGUACCUUCGGUGCCCGAGUUGUAAUUUGGAGAGGGCAACUUUGGGGCCGUUCCUUGUCUAUGUUCCUUGGAACAGGACGUCAUAGAGGGUGAGAAUCCCGUGUGGCGAGGAGUGCGGUUCUUUGUAAAGUGCCUUCGAAGAGUCGAGUUGUUUGGGAAUGCAGCUCUAAGUGGGUGGUAAAUUCCAUCUAAAGCUAAAUAUUGGCGAGAGACCGAUAGCGAACAAGUACAGUGAUGGAAAGAUGAAAAGAACUUUGAAAAGAGAGUGAAAAAGUACGUGAAAUUGUUGAAAGGGAAGGGCAUUUGAUCAGACAUGGUGUUUUGUGCCCUCUGCUCCUUGUGGGUAGGGGAAUCUCGCAUUUCACUGGGCCAGCAUCAGUUUUGGUGGCAGGAUAAAUCCAUAGGAAUGUAGCUUGCCUCGGUAAGUAUUAUAGCCUGUGGGAAUACUGCCAGCUGGGACUGAGGACUGCGACGUAAGUCAAGGAUGCUGGCAUAAUGGUUAUAUGCCGCCCGUCUUGAAACCGGGAACAAAC